GUAGGUGGCAAGCGUUGGCCGGAAUUAUUGGGCGUAAAGCGCGCGCAGGUGGUUCUUUAAGUCUGAUGUGAAAGCCCCCGGGCUCAACCGGGGAGGGUCAUUGGAAACUGGGGAACUUGAGUGCAGGAGAGGAAAGUGGAAUUCCACGUGUAGCGGUGAAAUGCGUAGAUAUGUGGAGGAACACCAGUGGCGAAGGCGACUUUCUGGCCUGUAACUGACACUGAGGCGCGAAAGCGUGGGGAGCAAACAGGAUUAGAUACCCUGGUAGUCCACGCCGUAAACGAUGAGUGCUAAGUGUUGGGGGGUUUCCGCCCCUCAGUGCUGCAGCUAACGCAUUAAGCACUCCGCCUGGGGAGUACGGUCGCAAAGACUG
rnacentral:rRNA from 1 species